UGAUUCUCCUGCUUCAGCUUCACAAGUAGCUGAGAUUACAGCCCAGACUUGGAGCUGAAGAAGCUGGAAAAUGGAAACACCAACAGCUACAGACCAAAAAAGUCCCAACAAAGGCCUGCCAGUCUGCCAGCCUGUCCUGUGGAUUUCCAACUCAUUGCAGCAUCAACUCAUACCUGAAGCUCUGGCUUCUCUACAAACUUUGAAUUUGCCAGUCCCCACAAUGGCAUAAGCCAAUUCCUUAAAAUAAAUCUCUAGUUCUACAUA